rnacentral:rRNA from 1 species
UACGUAGGGUGCAAGCGUUAAUCGGAAUUACUGGGCGUAAAGCGUGCGCAGGCGGUUUUUGUAAGUUUGUCGUGAAAUCCCCGGGCUCAACCUGGGAAUGGCGAUGAAGACUGCAAGGCUAGAAUCUGGCAGAGGGGGGUAGAAUUCCACGUGUAGCAGUGAAAUGCGUAGAGAUGUGGAGGAACACCGAUGGCGAAGGCAGCCCCCUGGGUCAAGAUUGACGCUCAUGCACGAAAGCGUGGGGAGCAAACGAGG